AAAAAUAGAAAAUAAAAAAUAAAAUAAUAACAAUAAAAAAUUAGAAAACAAAUAAAAAUAAAUUCAAAAUAUUAACAACCUGAAAAUUUAAAAUAGAAAAGAAAAUAAACUAAGACAAAAAUAAAGAUAAAACAACAAAUAAAUAGAAACAAAGAAAAUAAAAAACUAAAAUUUUAAAUUUUAAAUAAAAAAACACAACCCAAGAACUAAAAGUGCCUAGAAUAAAAAUAAAAGAGAAAAUAAAUAUAAACAAAGAAAAUUUAAAAUCAAACUUAAAAAUAAAAUAAAAAGUAACAAAUGAAAUACAAAAUUUGCCUUGUUGAAGUUAUCAACAAUCUCCGGCAACUGCGUCAAAUAUUUGAUGACAUUCUUAGCAAGUAUACUAAUACGGCCGAAGUAAUAAAAACAAAUUUGUUUCCAUAGGGAUUGCAACUUUAAUAAGGUAUUAAUCGUGUGAUUUUAAAAUAACAACGAGGGGUUUUUAGAUUGAUUUUUUUUUAGAAAUUAUUUACGCGAAUAAAACUUGAGAAAGUGAUUAUAUCUUAUUCGAAUCACUUAAUUUUUCCAUGUUAAUAAUUGUGCAUUAUUUGAAUAGAAUUGACUCUAUAAUUUUACGGUGAAUUAACAAU
rnacentral:lncRNA from 1 species